rnacentral:rRNA from 1 species
AUUGAACGCUGGCGGCAGGCCUAACACAUGCAAGUCGAACGGUAACAGGAAGAAGCUUGCUUCUUUGCUGACGAGUGGCGGACGGGUGAGUAAUGUCUGGGAAACUGCCUGAUGGAGGGGGAUAACUACUGGAAACGGUAGCUAAUACCGCAUAAUGUCGCAAGACCAAAGAGGGGGACCUUCGGGCCUCUUGCCAUCGGAUGUGCCCAGAUGGGAUUAGCUAGUAGGUGGGGUAACGGCUCACCUAGGCGACGAUCCCUAGCUGGUCUGAGAGGAUGACCAGACACACUGGAACUGAGACACGGUCCAGACUCCUACGGGAGGCAGCAGUGGGGAAUAUUGCACAAUGGGCGCAAGCCUGAUGCAGCUAUGCCGCGUGUAUGAAGAAGGCCUUCGGGUUGUAAAGUACUUUCAGCGGGGAGGAAGGGAGUAAAGUUAAUACCUUUGCUCAUUGACGUUACCCGCAGAAGAAGCACCGGCUAACUCCGUG